rnacentral:lncRNA from 1 species
AUGAAAUUUAAACAUUUAAAUAUGGCUACAAAACACAACUCAAAAAAACGUUUCUUGGAACCAGAUACGGAUAACAGUGCACCAAACAGAGGCUUUUCUCUGUCGAGUAAUGAUGAUUGGCCAAAGUUGAUUACUAUUGAAUCUAUUUCUUCAGAUAUCCCAAUUAUCAAGCUCUCCCCUUUUGCCAUGCAAAAGGGUAUUACAGGAAUAGCAGGAACUGUUAAAGAAGUGAAAAAAUUACGUUCGGGACAAAUUCUUGUUGAAUGCUGUAAAAAGGCAAAUGCUGAAAACCUGUUACAUGCUAAUAUGCUGGCAGGAAUUCAGAUAACGACAUACCCUCACCCAACUUUGAACUAUAGUAAAGGAACAAUUCGUACUAGAGAACUGGAUGAUGUAGAUGAAGAAGAAGAAAUAACAAAUGAGCUUAAAACUCAAGGAGUAACAAAUGUGAAACGAAUUAUAAUCAAAAGAGAAGAAAGAAUGAUUAAAACCAAUACAUACAUCAUCACUUUUAAUAAACCACUCCUACCAGAAAGAAUUCAGAUUGGGUAUCUAAGUGUUCUGGUAGACCUAUAUAUACCCAAUCCUUUGAGGUGUUUCAAUUGUCAAAAAUAUGGACACGGAUUUAAUAGUUGUAAAAACAAGCACAUCUGUUGUAACUGUGGAGAAGAAGGCCAUGACAAGGGUAGUUGUGAGAAACCAACUAAAUGUUGUAACUGCACAGGUGAUCAUUCAGCUGCAUCAAAACAAUGUCCCAUGUGGAUCAAAGAAAAGGAAAUACAAAAAAACAGAUGUACAAAAAGGAUCAGUUACAUUGAAGCAAAGAAACAAGUGACUAUAACACCUAUUUUUACUCUGAAUAAAACAUUUGCUUCUGCUGCAAGAAAAUCUGUGAGAUCAGUAGAUUGCCAGACAGACAUCACUUGGAUGUACAAAGAUAAACCUCAAACAGUUAACCUAAGUAAUACUCCCUCAAGGGCAAAAAUUACAGAAAAACAAAACGAAGUCCCCUCAAAUUACACGAACCUCAGCCAAAUUUCAGAAACAGAAAAUCAGAGGACAAGUAAAAGCAACAGGAAAUCAAACUCGCAAUCCAAAGUAUCGGAAAUGAAAGAGAGUGAGCAUCAUAGUAGAAGCCCAUCUCCAAAAGGAAAAGUUAGGACAAAUGUUCCUAUUCUUCCUAAUAGGUAA